UUCUUCCUUUGUAUUUUAUGGGGAAGUUGUCUUUGUUAGUGGCACCACAGCCCUAGUAAAUUUCACGGUCGCGUCUUCGUUUCUUGUUUUGUUGGUGAUGUUUGUAUAAAUAAAGGAAAAUGUACGCUGCAACUUGGUUGGUUUCCACGACGUCAGUGACGUGCAGUGCAGAAUGCAGUAUUGGCAGACUGCUGUUUGCUGUUAAAGUUAUCCCCAUUUUCCAGCUCCUGGCCUCGUUCUCUCCUGCAGGCCUCCUCCAAUUGUAUUCAAAGCAAUGCGGGCUAAUACAUCUACACUGACUGAAGUGGAUUUAACAGACUGCCGGCUCAGCAGGAAGCCCUAGAGUGAUGGAUGACCACUGACAAGACGGAAAAAUCCCAACAACCACAGAAGUUGAAGAGGAGAGAGGGAGACAGACGGAGGGAAUAAAAAUGAAAUAACACUACAGCUUCACAGGUGUCCGCGGCCUCAACCAGCCAGACUGUUACGCAACACACAUUUUUGGUGGGCAGAUUUAAUAUAUUGGCAUUCGCCAUGAGAGGAUCCACUGAGUUAAACAUCUCCUUUGGUUGAGGGUGAGCAUUUGCUGGCAGAGCAGGCAGGCAGCAGCUGUAGACUGUGAACUUGUAUUGCAACCGAAGAAGAGUAAGCAACUUUAUUUUUUCUUCUUGGUCUAAGACAGGAACAUUAUUAUUUUGGAGGGAGAUAUAGUUAGUUUGUGGCUUGAAGAGGGACCGUAUUCUGUACAAGUUAAUGAUUUUAAAUGUUAAAAUUAAAAGACCUAUCAAACCACAA